UUAAAGGUAUUCCGGUAGACGAUGGGGAUGCGUUCCAUUAGAUAGUAGGCGGGGUAACGGCCCACCUAGUCUUCGAUGGAUAGGGGUUCUGAGAGGAAGGUCCCCCACAUUGGAACUGAGACACGGUCCAAACUCCUACGGGAGGCAGCAUG
rnacentral:rRNA from 1 species